rnacentral:lncRNA from 1 species
GUUGAUAUGCACCCAUUCAGCUUCUAGUAGAAAACGCGUUUCGAGUUGUGCAUAUAUUGGAUGUGUCAUGUGUAUAUAUUUGUCCCUAUCUGAAAGGUGUUUUGAGCAGUUCAUCAUAGAUAUGCACCCACUUCUGCCUCAAAACUCUCUUUGCUCCUCUUUAUACAUUGCCUUGCACACUGCAUGCAGCAUUUAUUGUGAGUAGGCUUGUUAUUGCAUUCCACUCAUUCUUGUCUUUGAACCUCUCUGUGUGUCCUGUUUUUCAUAAUGAAAUAUGCUUGCUUUCACAGUUUCCUCUACUGUUAGUUAUCAUCAGAGUCCACCACCAAUAAUCAUAGUUCUUUGGAAGCCAAGGUCUCCCACCCAACAAAUAAGAUACUCCCUUUCCACCUUUAGUUGUUCCAAGGAUAUCAAGAACGGAAAACAUAUGUGUAAGUGAAAAUGUAGCAAUAAGUUUUUUCUAUACUUUCAAAUUUUCCUAGAUGAGCGUCAUCCUAUCUGACGGAAAGAGUACAUGCCGUCCAAGGUUGCUGGUCCCAGGAAGAUGAAGGACCGGAUAUUCCUACUAGUGACGAGCAAUGAGUCAUCCUACCUAUCAGGAUCAAGUUGGGAUACCAUUUAAGCUCAUAUAUACAUGACAAAACAUUUUUGUCAUGUAUAUAUGAGAUUAAAUAACAUCCCAAUUUGAUGCUGAUGAGUCAUAUGAGUCAAUGCUCAACACUAGUAGGAAUAUCCAGUCUCUCAUCUUCUGAGGACCAGCAACUUUGGACGCCAUGUAUUCUUCAGGUCAGAUAGGGAGAAGUUCUUCCAGGAAGAGUUGAAGUGAUAGAGAUCUGUUGCUACAUUUUCACUCACACAUCAAUAACUUCUCUAGGGGAAGAAACGUCGCGAUCCUCCUUUUCCAUCUCAAGCCAUAUGAAGUCUACAACAAGUAUUCUUUAGAAGAUAACACAUCAGAAGAAGAAAAAAAGUUAUUCAGAAAUUCUUUGGAAUACAACUUGUGUUCUGGAGCUGUACUGAUUCUCUUAGAAAAAAGCACCACCAUAAUUUUAAAUGAUCAUAAUCAUCUGAAGUCACAGAGUAAUCAAAUUCUCCAUUUUGGUCCUUCCUCUUAUGGUUUCCUUAACAAGAUAAGUGAUGUGGAAUUAACUAGCAUGAAUAUUUGGUAUUCACCAAAAGGUGGUCGAAAAUCAUUUUCUCAUUAAUGCUUUGAGUUACUUCACUCCUCUUAGGAAAUAUAUUUCUUAUCACUUUCAAGGCUCACUUUGCUGCUUUCGAAACCAAGCAUUUCAUGCCUCUCAAGUUUCUUGUAAAAUAUCUGCCUAUCUGAUCUUUACAAAUUAAAACCUCGUUUUAUUGUUUUGACGAUAUUCAUCAUUUAACUACAAUUUUGAGCUCAUUACUAUAUCCCUAUGCUCGUUACUCCUAUUAACACCACCAUUCAACUUCUAAGCCUUGUAAUAUCAAGCUGCUGGUAACCAAAAAUAUAAGCGUGCAGUACUUUAGUAAGUUUCUCAUGAUCUAGUUGUUGGUUAUUAUCUUGCCUUCUAGAUCCAUAUACAACAUCAGGUAGCUUUGAUAAUAGGAAAAUUGUGUUAUAUUAAUCUGAUUCUAAUGAAAUCAACAAGAAUGACAAAUAGAUUGAAUGCAUAUAUUUGAUGCGUAAAUUUCUUUUCGUAGGGACUCCAUAGGACAAAAACUGAACUCUUCUUCCUCAUUCAGUGUGUUCUUUGAGUUAACAAUUUUAUGUGAUUUAAUUGUUCCAUUUUUUUCUGCAAAGCUAAUGCCUGCACGAAGGAGAGACACUUGAAGGAACCAAGCAUCAUUGACCGAUAUGGUGAUGCAAAAAGAACUAACAAUUAAUUAGAAGUAUAAAUCAACAUUGUGUGCAGUAUGUCGAUUAUAUAUUGGAGCAUAUUCAAAGGAGUUGGUUACAAUAAAUUGUUAAUAGCUGUUGUAUUUUCUAGAAUAGUAAGAAAUAAAACCUCCUUCUAUAUACUCGAUUAUGAAUGUAAAUUAACAAAAUUCAAGUCACUUGUUUAAUCUAUAAGUUUAAUGAGGUAAUUAGUUCUCAACUUAUACAGAAUAAAGAUGUCUCGUAUAUAAAAGAACUGCCAUGGGCUCAACUAAUGACCAGAUACUAACAAAACAAUCUUUACAAUUAAGUUGUAGUAAAAUUUAAGGUUCUCUAUGACAUGUGUUCCUAUGACGGCAAAACUGAAGACCUACAAAGUGGACAAGAUGUCUUCCCCUUCAGCAGCCAUUGCUUUAUGCAGCUUGCGUGGUAUUCAUGUUGACAUUCAAGAGUGCCAAUUGUCUCAUCAUUCUCGUAUUCGCAUAGGCAAAUAGCACAUGUUUCUCCUCCAUCGUCAGUACUGCAAUGAGUUCUUGUUCUCAUCAUAUUUGCUAUAGUCUCCUCUGCGGCCUCCUCGCCGUGGUCGUUGCGUUCCACCAUAUGGGCCACCAAAAGUUGCAAUAAUUCUAUCAGAAAAGCUCGGUCAUUGUCAUCAUCGGUGAAUCCACUUCCAGUUGUGUCAUAGUCUUCGUCAGAGAAUUCACUUUCAGUUGUGUCAUAAUCUUCGUCAGAGGAUUCACUUUCAGUGGUGUGAUAGAUAUCAUCAACGAAUUCACCUGUUGACAGAUUAUAGACGCCAUCCCUCAAGUCUGGAUCCUCAGCGUGAUCAAACCAAAUCUGUCCAGUAUAUGUAUAUCCAGGAUCCAUAAGAGGUGAGUUGCCUGGAGCAAAGCAGUGAUAAUUUCCUAGAGCUUGAUGUUGAUCAAUGGAUUCAAUUCCAUCUACAACAUAGACACCAUCAAUGAAUUCACCCGCUGGCUGAUUAAAACCACCGUGUGGAUAAUCAAUGUAAUCAAACGAACUGUGUCCAUUAUAGGUAUGAUGACUUUGGGAAUUUGUACUGACGAUAAAAGGAAACUGAUCAUCAGCUGCAACAUAGGCAUGAUCAUCAACGUAGUAUCCACUUGUUGGCUGAUAAUAAUAAUAAUAAUAAUACCCUGGGUCAUAAUUCAUUGUUGUAGCAUAGAAAUCCCUCAAGUAUGGAUCCUCAAUGUUAUCAAACCAACUCUGUCCAUCAUUAUACGUAUAUGGAUUUCUUGAAACGUAGUAAUUUACUGGACUUUGAGAAUUUGAACUCAUGAUCGAUGACACUAAAAUACAAGAACAAAUUAAGAGGAACUAAAUUGAUCAAUUGAAGUGAGUUUAACUUUUCUUGGGAGCAAAUAUGGAAUUAAGCGGUAUGAGAAUUGUAGAUUUAUAUAGCUUGGCUAAGACCGCUAAGCAACUACCAUCCCAUUCCUAAAUCAAUCACAAGUAGGAGAAUCACUUAGCCGUCACGUAAUCCUUUUUGUACAAGGAAUAGGAUUAAUAAUAAUAAUAAUAAUAAUAAUAAUAAUAAUAAUAAUAAUAAUAAUAAUAAUAAUAAUUUAUGGAUGUGAAUUUUUAUAGUGAGGUGAUGUUUAUACAAAUAUGUGAUAUUUAAAUCUCAUUAAGUUGUAAUAAAUAAAUGUGCAAAUAAUCUCAUUAAUACAUUGACUCUUUCCAUUGACUCUCAUGAUAAUCUCCAAUUAAAAUUUAUUUUUCGUUUAAAUGAUACUUUUGAAACAUGUGUUUUGCACACUAACAAUAUAUCUCAUUCGUCACAUGAAUUUGUAUCUAUUCAUUUUUAAAUUUGUUAUUUUUUUGAGUAAUAACUUUUCAUCCAUUUAAGAGGAAUAAAAAAGAAGAAGAGAAUUUUAAAAAUCAAAUCAACACUGAAUACAAAAUGGGAGAAUGACUGUUAAAGCCUAAAGGAAACAGAAGAAGAAGAAGGUGAUGAUAGAGAAAAAGAGAAUACAAAAAUGAAUUGUGGAGAGAGAAAAUGACAGUAAAAAGAAAGUUGAAAAAGACAAUAGAUGACGAUUAUAACAAGAAAAAACUUUAAAGUUUGAAACUUUGACUCAAUAAAAAAAGUGAAUUCGAUUAAAUUAAAAUAUUAAUUCAUUAAUAAAAUGGAGAAACACGAUUUUCUUUUCAAAAAAAUCUAUUAAUGAAAAAAUCGUUGCUAUUUAUUACAAUAAAUAAAAGGUAUCAUAAUAAAAAGAUAAUAAUGGAUAUGUAAUAGUCAUCUGUGUCAAAAUUCUUAAAUAAAACUCUUCUACUAGAGUGUUUCCUCAAUAUAUCUCAAAUUUAUUUUCUUUCUUCAACUAUUUUCUUCAUUAUUUUAGAUUUAGUUUGUCAACAAUGAGCAUUAUGAAUUAUAUCUUGACAAAUCAAAAUGAGAAAAAUUGAAACUUAGGAAAACUAGUUACUAAAUUUUGAAUUAUAAACUUAAAAACUAUACCUUUGCAUUAAAAAAACUUAAAAUGAUUUUUGAACUUGAUUGACAUGAUUUUACUUCUUAUAUUUUACUCGGUUAUAGUCUCUACAACUCAUUUUUUUAUAUAAUUAUUUCUUUGUUACAUACACAAAUACUUUUUUAAAAAAAUUAUUUCUUCAUAUUCACCUUACUCCGUUGAUCACUUAUAAUUUUAUAAUUAUUUUACAUGUCAUAGACGAUGUAUUUCACAUAAAUUUGUAUCCGCAUAUUUUUAACUUUUGUUAUUUUUAAUUUUUCUUUUUUCUUGAAUUAAUACAUUACCGCUUUCUGUUGCCUCUCAUUAUAAUCUUCAAUUAAAAAAAUAUUUUUUAUUAAAAAUGAUUUUUCAUUUAAAUGAUACCUUUGAAACACGUGUUUUGCACGUUAACAAUGUAUCUCAUUCCUCACAUGAAUUUGUAUCUAGGCAUUUUUAACUUUAUUUUUUUUUAGUAAUAACUUUUCAUCCAUUUAAGAGAAGUGAGAAAAAAGAAAAAAAAAUUAAAAACCAAACCAACAAUGAAUAGAAAGUGAGAGAAUAAAUGUUAAAGGAAAAAGAAGAAGAAGACGAUGAUAUUGAAAAAGAAAGAAUGAAAAUGAAUGAUGGAGAGAGAAAACGACAGUAAAAAGAAAGUUGGAGAAGACGACAAAAAACGAUUAUAACGAGAAAGAACUUCUAAGUAUGAAACUUUGACUCUACAAAAAAAUGAACUCAGUUAAAUUAAAAUAUUAAUUCAUUAAUAAAAUGAGAAACACGAUCUUUUUUUAAAAAAAAAAGACUAUUAAUGAAAAACUGUUGCCAACUAUUUAUUACAAUAAAUAAAAGGUAUCAUAAUAAAAAGGUAAUAAUAAUGGAUAUAUAAUAGUUUACUUAUGUAAAAAUUCUUAAAGAGAACUUUUCUACUAGAGUGUUUCCUCAAUAUAUCUCAAAUUUGUUUCUUUUCUUCAAUUAUUUUCUUCAAUAUUUUAUAUUUAAUUUGUCAACAAUGAGCAUUAUGAUAUCUAGACAAUCAAAAUGAAAAAAAUUGAAACUUAGCAUACGAAAAUUAUAAACUAAUUUUAUUAUUAUUAUUAUUAUUAUUAUGAAUAUACUUUAAAUGCACAGGAUAUGAAUAACAUGAUAAUAAUUGAGUAAUGACUUAAAUGGAACUACGAUUUUAUUUAAUUUCAUAAGAUAUACAAGAGAUAUUGCAAUUGAAUCUAUUUUUUAUUUUUUACAUGUCUAAUUAAAUUUGUUGUUUUUUACAUGUCUAAUUAAAUUUGUUGAAUUAUAAUUGUAUGUAAAAUGUACUAGCUAGACAUGUAAUAUAUAUUCAAAGAAAAAGUUUUAACUCAAAGUUUAUAUAAGCAAUUCUAAUCAUGAUCAAAAGUCGUUAUAGUAAUAACGUUUGUUUGAAAAUUUAUGGAUGUGAAUUGUUAUAGUGAGGUGAUGUUUUUACAAAUAUGUGAUAUUUAUAUCUCAUUAAGUUGUAAUAAAUAAAUGUGCAAAUAAAUUAGUUUUUUUUGUGUGUGUAUCAUGAAAGAGUAUAAAUGAAAAAAAAAAAAAAAUGCUCAUAUAAAAACGCCAGUUAAAUAUAUUUCUUUGGUUAGAUAGUCGCUUGAUAUUUAUUAUAUGCACGACAUAAUAUAUUCUAGUUGCAACUCGUUAGUUUUAUUCCAAAAAUUAUUUACUUACAAUUUUAUAACCUUUUUGCUUUUUUAUCAAAUCAAACAUAAAAACUUUUUCAUGUUCUACCUUUUUUCCUGACAAAAGGGUCAAAUUUGUCUUUCUAUUUUAAAAAAUUGGUUAAAUAUAUCUCAUAUUUUAGGGUCAAAUUUAUCCGUAUUAUCAUAUUUUGGAAUCAAAUUUAUCCUUUUUUUAAUUUUGGGGUUGAUUCAGGUUUCUGAUCAAUCAGUUCACAAAAUUUGAAAUUUGAACAUAUUACUGAACAGAAAUAGAGUUUGUACUAAAAAUUUUCUCUAGUUCCAUACUUCUGUGUUAUUUUAUUUAGUUCGUUGGUAAAAUAGCGCUUCACUGUAAUACAACGUAUGUCAAUUAUUUUCUGAGAUAUGUACUGGAUCCAUACUGAUUCUCAUAGAAGUUUUACAAAGCACUGACCAAUGAUUUUAAAUUAUCCGAAGUCAGAGUCUCAUAUAGAGUGAUAAAUAAAAUACUCCAUGUCUCUCUUUCGUCUUAUGGUUUCCUUAACACAAGAUGAGUGAUAGGGAAUUAAUUCUUCAGGCACUUCAAAAUGCAAUUACAUGAGUUAACCUUGAAAACAAGUAAGUGAUUCUACACCCACUUUAAAAUACGUACUUACUAAAAAUUACCAUGAAGACCUUGGCAGCCUAUAACACAACAUAGAGAACAUGAAAAGGGACAAUUCGGUACAGUAAACAACAUAGAGCACAUGAAGUAAUACUCUUAGGUAGCCAUAUCAAUAGAGAACAUGGCAGAAUAAUGUACCAUGAACCAGGAGGUAGUCAUGUGAAACUCAAGGGAACUAUAAAACCUAAACGACCACUCAUGAAAUUAUACAAUUCAUGACUGUUUAUUUGGUAUAUGCUUGAUUAUGAAUGUAAAUUAACAAUUCAGCACUUGUCUAUUCUGUAAGUUUGAUGAGGUAAGUUCUCAACAUAUACAGAUCGAGUAAAGAUGUCUCGUAUAGAAAAGAACUGCAAUGGGCUCAACUAAUGACCAGAUACUAAUAAAAACAAUCUUUACAAUUAAGUUGUAGUAAAAGUUAAGGUUCUCUAUGACAUGUGUUCCUAUGACGGCAAAACUGAAGACCUACACAGUGGACAAG